UAAAAAAACAACAUGGCCGCUCCUAAUAAACAUAUGUCUGAGCGUUGAGUAUUCCUAAAAACAUACAGAUGCUGAAACUAUAGGAAAAAAAUUGUUUAACAUUGCCAUUUGAUCGAUUUCGUGGGACACUAUUUAUAUGUCUGAGGUCUGUGCUUUGAUACAGUGACGAUGGAUGAGAAGUUGGUUGAGGGAGAGAUAAAGCCAAAGAUAACGCGUUCACGAGCGAGACACAUAAGGAGGAAGCGUUUGAUAAGCGCGAGACGAGCGGCGGAGAACGGUAAUUCAAUAGUGCAGAGCAUCGAAACUGAGCAAUCGAUCGAUUCGAAAAAUCCGGACGAUUCUCGAGUCACAGAUUCUUUGAGCAAAUCGAAAGCACGAAGAUUACGAAAAAGAAACAAGACUCAAAACGACGAAAGUUCGGAGAAAAUAUUGAUCGACAAACCAGAAACUUUGGAUUCACCGUUACAAGAGGAUAAAUCUUUCCGCGACGAAAUAAUCGUUUCGUCCAGUAAAUCAACGAGCAACAACGAAUUUUCGAACGGCACGACAGUAACGGCGAACGAACACGAAUUACUCGAAAACGAAAAGAACCGUAAACUCAACGAAAGCACAAAAUCGAGCAGCGAUUCGUCCAGACGAAUUAAGGAGGAUCACGAAUCGGGAAUAAUAACGAUCGAUUCCGUGAAGAAUUUUAUAACUGGUAGAAGCUCACGAAUAAUCAUUGAGAGAGAAACGAGAGAAGAGCCCAAAGUCGCUUCGGUUACUAUAGAAGAGUCGUCAAGUCUCCCGGAUCAAAAAAAAACGUGUGACAAGAAAAAAUCCGUCAACGCCUUGGACGAGAAUGUUAGCGAGUUGGAUUUAAAGAUCGAGAAUCCUGGAGAUUGUACAAUGAGCGAUCAAGUAACGGGGAAAAUGAAUUCCCAAGAGAAAUCUCGCGAUCAAAUAAAAGCGGAUCGCGAGGCGAAAAAAGCUGCAAAAGCGGCCGCGAAAAACAAGGUAAAAGUAGCAAAACCGGAAAUCGUGAAAAAUGUAAGUUCAACCGCGAGUGUGACCGAAACUUCGCAGCAGAAAAGUCGAGAGUCGCGGGGCGACGUCGUUGAUGGUGAGAUUAUAGCAAAGUUUAACAAAGUCACAAUUUCACCGGUUUGCAAAGGUAAAACCGAAGUCGAUAAAGUUGUACUGCGGUUGGAACCGAAAAUCGAGGAAAAGAGUAAAUCAGAAUUACGAGCUGAGAGAAGAGCGAAACAGGAAGCUCAGAGGGCAGCGAAACAGAGUCAAAUUUCAGAGAAGCAGAAGCCAAAAUCCGGGGAGAUUGUACAGGAAAUUGGUAAACCAGUACCUGAAAAGUUAGAGGAAACGAAAAAAAUCGCUAACCGAGGAAAAAUCGUCAAACCGCACGUUGUCAAUCCACACGAAGUUAAUUUGUUUAAACAUCUUUAUCACGAGAGAGAACAAGCUCUCAUUAACGUGCCCAUCGUUAAUUCAAAUAUUCAUCCCGCAAUCGUACGAUUAGGUGUUCAAUAUGCCGACAAAGUCAUUGUCGGUAGUAACGCGAGAUGCGUCGCUCUUUUAGCUGCAGUGAAACAACUUAUCCACGAUUUUGAAAGAUCUUCUCAGGCUGAUUUCACGAGAGGACUCGAAACGAGUUUACAAGAAUCUUCCGCUUAUCUUCAUCACUGUCGACCCCUCGCUGUUUCGAUGCAGAAUGCUCUUAGGCACCUCAAAUGGCAAAUGACCCAAUUAGAAGCGACUACGCCCGACGAAGAUGCUAAAUCGAGAUUGGGCAAUGCCAUUGACACCUACAUUCAAGAACAAAUUCAACUGGCCGACAAAGCGAUUUCUAUCACAAUUCAAACAAAAAUUUCCAAUGGAGAUGUUAUCUUGACUUAUGGAUACUCUUCGUUGAUUUAUAAAAUUCUCUGUGAUGCUCAUGAUGCUGGCAGACAAUUUCGCGUGGUAGUUGUCGAUGGAAGACCGUGGCUCGAGGGUCGAGAACAACUUCGACGAUUAGCGAAACACGGACUCGAAUGUUCUUACGUUUUGAUCAAUGCUCUCAGUUUCAUUAUGCCCUCGGUAAGCAAAGUAUUCCUCGGGGCGCAUGCAAUUUUGGCGAACGGCGCAGUCAUGUCAAGAGUCGGUACAGCACAAGUUUCACUUAUGGCUAAAUCCUUCAAUAUUCCGGUAUUAGUUGCUUGCGAAACGCAUAAAACUUGUGAACGUGUACAAACGGACUCCAUUGUUUAUAACGAGAUAGCCAAUCCUGAUGAGCUUGCUCACAGUCCAAUGGGAAGUAUGAGAAAAACUACGUUGUCCAAUUGGCGAGGAAAAAAAUCGUUAAAUUUACUCAAUAUAACGUACGACGUGACCCCGGCGGAUUUGGUAACAGCGGUCGUUACCGAGUUAGCAAUACUACCGUGUACCAGUGUACCGGUAAUUCUGCGAAUAAAACCAUCGGAAAUUUAAGAUUUUCCAUUAUUUGAGAUGUAGCAAACGGCAUCGCGCAACUUGAACGACGAUUUUCAAAUAUCGAAGAACGAAUUAUUCUCAGUGGAGGGAGCGAAUUUUGUUCGAAACUUUUCCCGUAAUCAUGUAGAUCGACGUCAUCGCCAACUAAUUUUGUAACUAGAAAGAUAGACAAAUAAAAGCGUGAAGUUAAGGGCA
rnacentral:misc_RNA from 1 species